ensembl:lncRNA
CUCUCUUCUCCUGCUUCGAAAUUAGCGAGGUAGAAUGCUUGGGCUAAUUAUGCAUUCAAACGAGCAGGCUUCGUUAAUGUGGCACUAAGAGGAGCCUGAAAAUGAUUGUGAGACGAUGAAAUUGAAAUUCGAGCGCGGCACUUCCAAUGCAUCUGGAGUCACUCUUGCGUGCCCCAGCAGAUGCAGCCAGCAGUGACCGGCGGCCCCACGGCCAGGCACUCUGCCCCAGGGCUGCGGGGGCUGCCAGCCACAUCCUGGGGGUGCACGGGGUCGGGGUGGUGCGCAGAGCAGAGCACAAAGCAGAAUGGGAAUGUGGCGGCCACUGCGGAGCAUCCCCAGGACGUGGGGUAGGUGCAUCCCUUGGGCAGCGGCGGUGCUUUGUGGUGCUGCCCUCCGUGCUGCUGCAGUCCUCCUUGCCGGGUCGUAUCCAUGCUCCCAUAGCAGCUGUGUGUGGCAGUGCUCCGUGUGUGGCUGGGUGGGGAGCAUCCUCUGCCUGGAUGUGCUGCUGGGGAUGCUGAGACCCGAGGAGUGGCUCCUGUUCCUGUCACCCAGGUUGGGUGCCCAGCUGUUGGCACAGCCUGGCAAGGAGCAGACCCCCAUGGCACAUCCAUCGCCCGGCACGGUCCAUGCUGUUGGCUGCUGCUGUCUAGAGGAGACACAAGCCCAAGUCCUGGGUCAGUACCCAAAGGGCUGCAGCAGGAUGGUGGCACGGCAGCACCCGGGCCGGGCCGGGGCUGCUCCAUCCAGCAUGGGGCUGAGGAUCUGCGGAGCAAAAAGCAGAGAGAAGGAUCAGAGCGACAAAGAAUAGAGCAGUGUUCUGUGCCACAUGGGAUGAGCAUCCAUGGGCAGUGAGAGACACAGGGGAUGCCACCAGCCCGUCACCACCCGGCCGUGGCUCAGUGCUGGGCACUGGGGAUGGGGAGCAGCAGGAGAUGCUCCUUUGGGGAGAUUGCAAUGGCACAGUUGGGUCCAGAGGGAUGCUGAGCACACUGAGGGAUGCUGAGUGCUCCUGAGGACAGCUCUACGGGGGAGCUGCAGAGCUCAGAGCAGCUCACUGCUGGGUACCAGGCUGUGCUGCCGGGGCCGAGGGCACACCACAGGCACCAGGUUCUGCUCUGUGGCACACCGGGGUCCGGGCUGGUGUGGGAGGGGGCUGUUUUCCCCCUCUCCCUGGUAAUUUUUCCCUCUGACUAUGAUGCAUAGCGGUGCUAAUUCGGCACGUUGCCAUUAAUUCCAGCACAGCUGCCGCUCUCUCCCUCAAGGCAUUUCGCUAAUACUCAGCUUCAGAGCCUCUCAGCAAAUUAACAUCAUUUGUUCUGCAGAACAUGUUUUAUUUCUACACUACAUGCAUAGCUUAUUACUCAGCGACCAACUCGGGGGGCGCGGGGAGGCAGCGCUGCUGGGCGCGUCCCCACCUCGCCGUGUCAUCCCUGGUGGUGGCCCCGUGCCACCCAACCCACCCUGCCGUGCUCCCCUCUGGCUGCAGCUGUGUGGAUUUCCUCCCAGCACCGGGAUGCUCCGGCCCCAGGGUGCUCCUGUGCCCCGGGUCCAGUCCAGUGUGACUGCAGCCACAAUUACUGCACUGCUUACAGCCCCGCCUGGGCACUGACAGACAGAGGGACAGACCUGAAGCUGAUUAACACCCCUGGAGCUGGACCCCUGGUUCAUUACCUCCAGACUGUGGAUGGAGAGGCCCUGGCUCACUAUCUACUGCGCAGGAGGGAUGUGGUGCUGGGGGGAGCCCUGCAGUGGCAGCACCCAUGGGAUGGCAGUGGCCACGGGCUGGAGGCGAAGCACUGACUGCAUGGCCCUGUAUGGGGCAGGGCAUCCCGAUGAACCCCAGCCGGUGCUGGUGAUAAUAUCAGGUCUUUCGCUUUGAUUAAGGUUAUUUAAGCUUUUUACUGAAACAUAAAACCUGAUUGUUUGCAUAAACAACCUAAUUGGAUUAUAGUGCACGGCAUCGCUAAUGCUGCGGGCUGGCGGGGAGCUGCAGGGCAGGGGAGGCCUCUGGCUCUGACACUUCGCCACCAUUCUGCUGCCACACCACGUGCCACACGGGGACCCGGAGCUGUCACCUCCACUGGGGAGGCUGCUGUCCCUAUGGCAGAGCCUCGGGUGGACGAUGCCUCGCUGCAAGGUCCCAGGAGAGCAGGGACAAAGUUCCUGUGCUGGCAUCGCCCACACAGCUCGAAGAGGAGGAGGAUGAGCACAGAGGGACGAAGCACGCUGAGCUGCAGUGAGCGGCAGAGCGCUGCCUGCCCAGGGCUUCCACGGCUGGGAGCUGCCGAAGGCUUUCAUGGCAAGCAAAGCGGCGAGGCUGCAUGAAUAUUUCAUUAGGAAAGCAAUGUGGUGUGCUGCAGAGAACAUCUGGCUGGAGUCCCCGGAGACCCCCGGCUUGUGCAGGAAGCAGGAACUGUGAAAUAUGGAGGAAAACGAGGGAGAGGGGGGCGC